rnacentral:rRNA from 1 species
UACGUAGGGGGCAAGCGUUGUCCGGAUUCAUUGGGCGUAAAGAGCGUGUAGGCGGCCAGGCAGGUCGGUUGUGAAAACUCGAGGCUCAACCUUCAGAGGUCGACCGAAACCAUCUGGCUAGAAUCCGGGAGAGGAGAGUGGAAUUCCUGGUGUAGCGGUGAAAUGCGCAGAUAUCAGGAAGAACACCCGUGGCGAAAGCGGCUCUCUGGAACGGUACUGACGCUGAGACGCGAAAGCGUGGGGAGCGAACAGG